GACGAACGCUGGCGGCGUGCCUAAUACAUGCAAGUCGAACGAACUCUGGUAUUGAUUGGUGCUUGCAUCAUGAUUUACAUUUGAGUGAGUGGCGAACUGGUGAGUAACACGUGGGAAACCUGCCCAGAAGCGGGGGAUAACACCUGGAAACAGAUGCUAAUACCGCAUAACAACUUGGACCGCAUGGUCCGAGCUUGAAAGAUGGCUUCGGCUAUCACUUUUGGAUGGUCCCGCGGCGUAUUAGCUAGAUGGUGGGGUAACGGCUCACCAUGGCAAUGAUACGUAGCCGACCUGAGAGGGGAAUCGGCCACAUUGGGACUGAGACACGGCCCAAACUCCUACGGGAGGCAGCAGUAGGGAAUCUUCCACAAUGGACGAAAGUCUGAUGGAGCAACGCCGCGUGAGUGAAGAAGGUUUUCGGAUCGUAAAACUCUGUUGUCAGAGAAGAACGUGUGCGAGAGUAACUGCUCGUGCAGUGACGGUAUCUGGCCAGAAAGCCACGGCUAACUACGUGCCAGCCGCCGCCGUAA
rnacentral:rRNA from 1 species